rnacentral:rRNA from 1 species
AGUGAACGCUGGCGGUAGGCCUAACACAUGCAAGUCGAACGGCAGCACAGUAAGAGCUCGCUCUUACGGGUGGCGAGUGGCGGACGGGUGAGGAAUACAUCGGAAUCUACUUUUUCGUGGGGGAUAACGUAGGGAAACUUACGCUAAUACCGCAUACGACCUACGGGUGAAAGCAGGGGAUCUUCGGACCUUGCGCGAUUGAAUGAGCCGAUGUCGGAUUAGCUAGUUGGCGGGGUAAAGGCCCACCAAGGCGACGAUCCGUAGCUGGUCUGAGAGGAUGAUCGGCCACACUGGAACUGAGACACGGUCCAGACUCCUACGGGAGGCAGCAGUGGGGAAUAUUGGGCAAUGGGCGCAAGCCUGAUCCAGCCAUACCGCGUGAGUGAAGAAGGCCUUCGGGUUGUAAAGCCCUUUUGUUGGGAAAGAAAAGCAGCAGGUUAAUACCCCGCUGUUCUGACGGUACCCAAAGAAUAAGCACCGGCUAACUUCGUG